CUAGCAACCAUAACUAUUUACACAUCAUAAAGGAGUGGGUUCUCCCACUUCCAUGAGCAAUCCUUAGGGGAUCCCUUAUUGUGCAAGUCUCCUGGAGGUCAUCAGAGUAGCCUGCGAUGAAAUGUACAACAGACACUCCUGGACAAAUGUAAUUGUGUAAGAGUGACUUUCUCAGUAUUUUCACAAAAUAGGUCUACUCAGCUUUCAAACUACUGCUCAUGAAUAGCAAACCACCAGAGAAACAAAGGAGCGAUGAUGCUUUUGUUGGUGGCACUGGUGGUUCUGUUUGUUCUGUGUUGCUUUGUUUGUUUUAUGGUUUGAGAAAGGGUCUCCUUGUUUAGCUAUGACUAUAGCUGACCUGGAACUCAUGAAGAUCAGCAUUCCCAAGGGAUCUCCAAAAGAGAUCCUUAUUUUUCGAGAAAGCAGGGCAAAAUCAGCCCUCUUAAUGAAGUCUCGAAGAACAUACCAGGUUAUGCUCAACUAGGAAAUUUUUUCUUCCUGCAAAGCUGAUUACUAGGUUCCAAUGAUAUCUCACAGCCUCGAUUGCCUGUACUCUGCACAUUCUUUUAAUUGCUCCAGGUUUGUAAAAUAUUGUAUUAUCUUUCAAUGUGUCUAUCACCAUUAAUCUUCUAUUUUUAAUUUGCUUGGGAUUCUUCCAAUUUGCUCUAAUCUCAUUUUAAUUUAAGAAACACAUUUGAAGUAUUUCAACUAGAUGUUAUCAGAAUUUUAAUUAAAAUUCUAUUAAGCUGUAACUAGACUUUGAAGAAUUAUUACCUUUGUACAAAUUCUUUGUUUACCAGAGCAUAGUAUGCUAUUUCAUUUAUUAGAAAUUCACAUUCAGAAAUAUUUUAUUUAUGGAGUUCUUCUUCUUUGCUGUCAGAUAUCUUGAUUUUUUUUAUAAUUUUUAUUAAGGCUGUGAAUAGAAUAUGUCUUCCUACUAUUCUAUUUUCUCUUAUUUUGUGAGAAAUAAGCAAACUGUUAUUUUUACAUAUUUCACUUGCCAUUCAGAAGAUAACCAGAUAUAUUAUUUCUAAUAAUUAUUAGUUUCAGCACCCGGAACUGGAUACAUAUGAUGCUUGAAAAAAAAAGAUGAUUUCGCCAUUCUAAUUUUUCUGUUUGCUAUUUCUUUAGUUUCUUACUACUAUAAGAGUCCAUGAUUCAUGAGGAAUGAUAGUCCAGCUACAAACUACACAACAGCAAAGAGCGUUUAUUCUGCAGAGAACCUGCGUGCAGGGGUCCACCAUACGUCAGGAUGGAAGACAGAUGUAGACUUUGCAGGGUCGAUUUAAUGCCUGUUAGGGUGGGAGUAGGAAACUUUUACCUUCCUUUGGUUGGCUCUAUCUCCAGGGGUGUGGGUGCCUUCAUGAUUGGUUAAGGCUCUGGGGAUUUUGUGGACUCUUGCUGGUUAACUGUAACUCAAACUAGUUGUGGGGCAACUUCUACAGCUCCUGAUUGGCUGCCCAUGAGGUUGGCUCAGGCUAGGUGGUAGGGCAGCUUUCUGACUGGCUGCAGGUGAGGGGUGUUUUGUUUUUCUUCUGGAAUUAACUUGUUUUGGACUUUUCCAGGUCUGGGAACCAGAAACUUAGGCCUAGUUUCCCAAACUUCCAGUUUGCAGCCCGUCAUGGAGUCAGCCUGGCUCUGGCUGACCAACUCAGUCUUCUCACUACUAGAAUCUUUUGAUGAGAAUAUGCAGUAAUAGUGUUAGACGGCAUACUUCUCAUACUCUCAAAAUUACUAAUUAUUAUUUUGUUGCGGUUUGAAUGAGAAAUCUCUCUCACGGACUCUUGUGUUUGCACAUCUGGUCCUCAGUAGGUGGUGCUGUUUGGACGGAUAUCGUCAGAACCCUUAGGAGGGGGAGCCUUGGUGUAGGAAGUAAGUCUGCCACCAGAAGAUGGCUUUUGAGAUUUUAUAGCCAGGUUCCACUUCUAGUUCUCUUUCCUCCUCCUCUUCCCCCUUCUCUUCUUCCUCUUCACCCUCCCCCAUCUCCCCUAACCCCCUCCUUUUCCCCUCCCCAUUUCUCCCUCUCUCUUUCCUCUCAUCUCCCCUCCCCCUCCUUCUUCCUUCUCCACCUCCCUUUCUACUCCCUCACUCUCUAGCUCCCUCCCUUCUUAAGGUUCCUGAAUGAAAUGUAGUCUCUGUGGUUCCUGACUGCCAGGCCCUCCUCACUCUUGCCACCAUGACUUUCUACCCUUGACUGACUCUAGCACUCUGGAACACAGAGCUGAAAUCAGAACUUUCUUUACAAAUUUGCUUCUGUUUUCAUGACAUUUCAAGAAAUCCUGAAUGUAUGAAAUAAUUUGGAGUAUUUAUAUGAAUGUGACCUUUUCUGAGAAGAAAAUUCAGCACUAACUAAACUUCAAAGGGUUCUAAAUAAAGAGACUUCUUGUCAGCCAUAAUUAUGUUACUUUUGAAUUUAUUUUAAAUCUCUAUGUAUUCUAUACCACAAGGGAUUUGAGUCUAUGAAGUUAACAUACACAUGAACAUUUUAUAUCGCAAAUAGUUUUAUUUCUGUGUAUGACCACAUAGGCCAGGAUGGGCUUCAAAUGCCUUGAAAUUGGAAAUAUAGGUGGUUGUGAGUCAAAAAGAAAAAAGAAAGAAAGAAAGAAAGACAGACAGACAGACAGACAGGAAGGAAGGAAGGAAGAAAGAAAGAAAGAAAGAAAGAAAGAAAGAAAGAAAGAAGGAAGGAAAGCGCUGCUGCUUGGAACCAAACUCAGGUCUCUUGCAAAAAUACCUUGUGCUAUUAAGAGCUGAGCCCCAAUUAUAAAUGACCUUCCAUACAUAUCUACGUAUUUUUAUCUAAUUGAAGCUUUGAAAUUUUCUAUAUCUUCAUAAAUUACGAAUUUUAGUUUGACUAAACAGUUUUAACAACAAAAAGAAGAAAUAGCCUUGGAAGAAAGCAUUCUCACCUCUCAUUUCUACACUAAGGAAUCUGAAACACCAGGAUUGAGGAUUCUAGCCUAGGAUCUGCUACUCCCAUCCCCCAGACAUACCUGUACACUCGCACACAUGUGCACACACACACACACACACACACACACACACACACAAACUGUUUUCCUCCUUUGAACUCAAAUACUCAAAGUAGUGUUCUGCAUUUUUGAAUCAAUAUUUACUCUCUAGAAUUAUAAACUUGUAACACUUCUAUUGAAGGAUUAUGCAUUUUAAUUUGUAAUAUGGUAUAUAUAAAUACCUAUUUCUUGUUUGAGUUAUUUUUUAUCCCACUGUAUUUUAUCUUACAGACUUAUUUCCUUUGCCACAGGUUUGUCUAUUGAAUUUGUUUAAUUAAUCUGUCCCUUGAUACUUUCUUUGUCUCAUUUUUUUCUGACAGGUUAAUCCUUUUUUAUAAACUUUCUUCAUGUAAAGAUUUAUUUCUAUUCUUUGAAAUUUUGAGUGAGAAGGUGGAUUAAUUUUUGCCUCUCAUUUCGUUGAAGUCAUAUAGGUCUUUUUUUUUCUUACAGCACACAGAGAUAUCAGAACAUGUUACAGAAUUUUAUGCAACCUUUUCCCAAUUCUGUUAUUUCAUUCAUAUUCUUGGUCAACUUUCUGCGUGUUCCUUCAAAGCCACAUUCAUGCUUUGUCCAGCUAUGUCCUCCCCCACAAUGUCCUUGAUGGGUGGGCAUCUUCAUCGUCCAAGUUGAGGUAAAAUAUAGGAAGGCAAAAGGAGACAGUGUUAGGUAAGAAAGUGAGGUUAUGGGUCCAUUCCUCUCUCUAUUUUACUGUAGGAACAGGAUAGACUUACUAUAUCCCUCCAUCAAGGAUAAUGCUAUCUGCUGAGCAGCAAAUUUUCAAAAAGAUUCAUAUAUAUAUAUAUAUACAUAUAUAUAUAUAUUCCCCUCUCUCCAUUGCCUUGACAUGUUUGCCUCAGACUACUAUAUCUCCUGUUUUCUUAUAUAUUGUUCUACAAGUUUCUUAUAUUAAGACAUGCUAAGUAGAUUAUCCUAAUUUUUGAGUGCAGCAAAUCAUACUCCUUAAUAGCCCUCUGUUUUAAAAUAAACCAUUCUGCAAGAUAUUAUCAUUAUCAUCUAUCUUAAAUAUCAAGUUAUGUUGGGAAAGACAUGUUAUUAUUUUGAACAAUGUAUCAGACAUUGUCCUAGCUAAUUGAAUAUUUGAGUCUCAAUUUUUGUUAAAUUUUUUACAAUGUAAUUAGAAUGAAUCAUAUACUAGUCAAAUCUUUCUUUAAAUUUUCUUUUCAGGAUUAAACUAUGGUAAGUUCAACUUGGGACUCUUGUCUAAUGGUGAGCUGUAUGUAUCUGAGUCCCUGGCCAUAGUAUUGAAGGUGUUCAUGACAUCCACUGAAAGUUGUGCUAAUUUCAAUAGGAUUUAAACUGGAUCAUUCAUUAUCAUAUGUUUACAUGAUAUAACUGUAUCCAGUGAGUCUCUCUUGAGAAAGAUAAAAUUCUCAGCAAUCAAUAACUGUACCCGUGCGGUAGGAAAUCCCAAGAUGGAUUUACUGCAGGUGGCGAUUUGCAUUCAAAGUACAAUGGCAGCUCACAAGGAAUUUUUACCUAAAAGGCUAACUGAAACAUUUUCUCUAGCUGUGUCCACCUGUACUAAACUAUUACUGUAUCAUGUGCUUGCCCAAUCACAAUGAUUUCUCCAUUUUGGAAAUCCUAUUUCAAAUCACUUUACUAUCUGAUCUGCCUGGCAUCACCCAACUAGAUUAUCUCCAACAACUUCAAUCAUCAUUUUUUAUUUCUCAUUUGUCCUUUGAGUGAGGCCAUGGUGAUCUCUAAACCGUAAUUUUCUCUUUUGCAAUGAAGAAGUCUACCCUUUAUGUGGUCUAAUCAGUCGAUGAAUAUUGCUUUUAGAAAUGCAGCACAAUUAACCGUAAAAAUGUGUGCAUGAUUUAGCACAACAAUAGUAAACAGAAAGACAGAAAUUGAAGACUGGAGGCAACUGAGUGAACCAACAUGUAAUUGCAGACUCCCAUUGUAGAGAAACUACACUAUCUUAUAAGGUAGCAAAAUUUCCCAGUCAGCUAUAAAGACACUUAUUUGCCAACAUGCAGACAAAUUAGGUGUCUGGAAUAAUCAUGGACUUAGAGUAUUCACAUAAAAGGGCUGCUACCAAGAGACCACGACAUGCCAUUGAUAAGCUUAGUUUUGUGAGAUAUUACUAAGUUUAUUUAUGAAUAUAAAUGAAGCCAAUUUAGUCAUAAAUAAUUAUUGAUACCUAAGAAUAUUUUCACAACUUCAUUGAUCCAUUUAAAAGACCAAAAACAACUCAAUGAGCUUCUUCUCUGCUCAGCUCCAAAUAUUGAAGACUCAGUAUCCUAAGACACAUUGAUGCUGCCAUUUUCUUAUCAUCAAUUCAUACAUGUGAAUCAGAAUUUUCCUAAGCUCCCAGCUCUAUAGACAGCCUCUACUCUCCUCAUAACAGCACAUAGAAGAAUGGAGAUGCAUACAUAAAACAUACAUAUAAAAGCAUGCAUAAAGAUAAAUGUACUUGCCUAUACAUACAUAUAACAGUAUGCAGAAGAAUGGAUGUGCACACACAUGCCUAAAAUACAUGGACAACCUAUUAAAGGUGAAAACAUUAAGUGUAAAGCUAUUUUAAAAGUAAAGAAACCUUUCCUAUAUUAUUCAGUUAAACACAGAACAUAAUACAAAUUAUUUAAAAUUCAUUCUUAUUCUGGCAUUUAUUCAUUUCAUCCUUAACUCACAUACAAUAUUAUUUGGAAUGGAAGAGGAAGAAAAAUAAAAUUUAACCUAACACCCAGUAAAGGUUAUUUUUAAGUUCCAGUUUUCCCUACAGUAUUCAGAAAGAUUUCUGUUUGUUAAACAGAAUAUUUUACUUGAAUUGCUCUUAUUCUGGAGACUCCUGAGAAGUAGCAGAUAAAAUUAUUCUUACUUAAUAACACACAAACAAUUAUUUUGAAAGAGACAAACACAAACUGUAGUCUGAAGAUAAAUUUGACAUUAAAGUGUUGCUUGGCUGGAAUAUAUUAAGUUAUGCUUUAAAACUGGUUUUCUAAAUAUAAUGCUUUAUAAAAAAUUCUGUGAUUCUUUAAAACUAUUAUUAUUUUUGCAGUCACUGAGGGAAAGGAGUCUGAAAAGAUGAGAAGCAAGAAUUAAAUGGCAAUAUAGGCGUUAUCAAUCUUUCCUUUUCAUCUCUAUUCAGGAACAUGAGCAGAGCUGAUAUCUGAAUCUUUCUUCAUAAAAGGAGUACAAAUCAGUCCACCCUGAGGAUGACUCUCCCUGGCACUAUGAAACCAAUUUGUGGUGUUUGACUACAGGCAAACAGUGACAGAGACAACGCAAUGCGUUCAUAAAGUAAUAAACCUGCUUUAAAAAAGGAUGGCUCUUGCUUUUGCUAAGCAUCUCAGAAGCACAUUAGUAGAUCAUUGUCCAAUGGUCUUCAUGUUAUAUUCUAGCAUUAAGUCUGAGAAAGGGCAUCAGGAAAACAUGAAUCAUGAUGAUUCCACUCAGAAAUGUGUACAGCAGUCAAGACUUAGUACUAAGCAAUGCACGUGUGAAUGAAUAGCUUCAUUUCAAGAACUCAUCUUCUGUCUUUCAACAUGUGACUAAAUUUAUUAUCUGCUAUAUGUCACAACCUGACAGGAGAGUCCAUGGAAAUUACUCUACUAAAAUAAUGUUAAUACAUGCAAAGAAAAGUUAAAAGAAAGUAGAAUGCAAUUUGAAACUUUCUGAAAGUCUCGAUUCAGCUGAUAAAUGCCUAAAAUUGUUUGGUAAUCUGUUUAAUAGCUAAAAAUAAAAGUGUUUAACAUAAAUAUGAAACUAUUCCAUAUACUAAUAUAUAAAUACUACUUUUGUAGUAUAAAGGCUUGAGAGAUGAUUGUAGAGUGGGAAAGAUGGAUCAGCAAUUAAAGUUGCCUGCUGCAUUGCAGCAAACCAGAGUUCAGUUCCCAGCACCCACACUAGGGGGAUCCUAGCUACAGAUGGUUCAAUAGACAGCCUCUUUGGCCUCACAGGGACUCAUGCAGAUGUACACAUAUAUGUGCCCACAGGAACACACACACACAAAAUAACACAUUUGAAAAAGAACAAUAUAGUUCAAAAUAAAUGACCUAAAAUAGGUGAAGGCAGGCGAUUAUUUUCAGAUUAAGAAGGGGUAUCUCGGAUUAAAGAUUAAGACAAACCAAGAAAAACCAAAUACUCAAAAUCUUCCUGUAAAAACAAAGACAUCAUCUCACCCGAAGUGUUCAUACUUCAAAGAAGUAUGUAAUAUUCUGCAAACUCAUGGCCCUAUCAAAAGCAAAGCAACUGUUAUGUGGCUGUAAAUAUAUGGGCAGAUAUUCUCUAUUUCAAUCUUAUUUAUUUAAAUUGUUACAAUUGGAAUCAUUUAUUAUGUACAAUAUAAUGUUUGAAAGCAUGUAUAUAUAUGCACAGAUAGUGGGAUGAAUACACUGAGAAAAUUAACAUAUACAUUAUAUUAUGAAGUGUGUUAUGGUGUGUGGGUAUAUCUGUAUAUGCUAAGGCAGAAUAUUCUCACAUGCUUGUAAUGCUGUCAAACAAAAUAAGAAACAAUCUAAAGGUGACCUUGAGCUUUUAAAGUUUAUGGAGUUAGAAAAAUAAAAGGUUGAACAGAGCGAGCUCCUAAUGUUCCAAGAAAAUUAAAGCAAAAUACCCAAAGGUUGUAGCAGAUUACAUAAAUAAAAUUUAAAAGAACAACAGAUGAACAGAGUGUGUCUACAGAGAACACAUGGACUAAAGACAUUCUUAAACCUGGGAAAACCCACAUACCAGUAAGCAGAAGUCAUAAAAACACUGGAAAUAAUUUAGAUAAUUUCAGACCUGAAGGGCAAACAAGAGGUAUCACUUUAUUAAUCCCAUUAGCCAACAAUUUAAACACAGAUUGUGAAAUGAAAGAACGGGGCAAAACUCAAUGAGAUUAAUAUUUAAAGGAGAAAGAGAAACACUGAAAUAAUCAAUCCCAGUGAGCAAAACAUUGGAACAGAUGACAGGAUCUAAUGCCCUAACACUUUCAGUAGGAUAGUGAUGAGUCUUGGUUUGAGUUAUGUAUUGAUAGCAUUGUAGGAACUGACGAAAACAUUCCCUGGUAACCAGGACCAAGGAUUACUACAGUGGAAUCAAUAGUCUUUUCGAAAUAGAAAAAGAAUCUUCAUGGAGCUCAUAAAAGAAUACACGAUUUAAGAGUUGUAGGAAGGCCAAGAUAUGUAUACUGUACCAAUACAUUCAUUUUUCAAUCAGUGCUUAGGGAUGUGAGUUAAUCUAUCAAUCAAGUCUGAAGAUCUCCAUCUGGGACUCAUUACGAGCACUGUGAAUGCUUUAGGGAUAUUUGAUCAUGACUCUUGUCCAGCCAUUUGCCUUCUCUCACAAAUACUCAUCAUUCUGAAUACUAGAAGCUCAAGCAUCAAGUUUUUCGGAAGAGAAAGGAAUGCGCAAAGAGCAUGCUUAAAAAAAAUUCCCCAUAAGGCAUGCAAAGAAAUCUCAGACAGAAGGACUGUUCCCAUCAAAGUAGAUGUCGCAUAACGUUCUGGCGUGCAUCCAUGAAAUCAGUGGAGAGGAAAUUUUAAAAUAAUCAUAAAUAAUUAAGCUGUGAUACAUAAUUUAAAAGUUCUUUGAUGCUUAUUUAUCUUAAUCAUAUUGUAGUCCACUGAGUUUUAUAAUUAUAAAACAUUGACAUAUGUGGUUUUUGAUGUAUUGCAAGUGAUCAGAGAUAGGCUUUUAUUGCCACAGAUCCCUCGGUGGUCUUAAUUUCCAUUACUCAGGCUGAAGUUCUACCCUCCUGUUUCAUGGUCUUAGGCUAACAAUAACAAUAACAUUUCAUACGCCUCACAUGUUUUAAACCAUCUGCCACUUAGCUAUGCUCUCUAGACUUAGCAAUCCCCUUAACGCCACACCAUCACAAUAAGCAUUGUCAUUCCCCUGUCUCUUGACUAAUUAGGAAAUUGAGGUCUUGGAUGAAAGACCUUCUCAAUUCAUGCUUUACUUUCACACCUGAUAUUGAUCCGAGGCAAGCAGAUUAUAAAACCUACAUUUAUAAAUUAUAGACUCUGAUUAUAUUACUGGCAAAUCUUCAAGGUCCUUUAGUUUUUUGUGCAGUAAACUAAUAGGUCUAUUAGUAAAGACAAUGGGAUACAGUGAUGUGCAGCAGUUAAUACUGUAUCUGGUAUUCAUGGUGAUCAGCAGUUGUGAUCCAGAUAUAUUAGAAUCUAAGUACAAGUGCAAUUCAGAUUUUUGUUACUUUAAAAAGUGUACAUGAUUGGAAGUAGAGCUCAGUCGAAAAUCUCAGCUAAGGUCCAGUGCUUCCUGUAACACUGAAUGUGACCCUGACUGUCGUUCUCCCAAAGGCUCAGGGGCAUGCUAAGCAGACUGUAUGUUUGAAAGGGUAACUCUCACGCUGAGAACCCCAGUGCUAUGAGAGCACUGGGAAAUACUGUUGUGAAGUUCCCUGUUCUGGUGUGAAAUGUCACAUCAGCAGUGAGACUGAGCACCCACACAGAUCUCCACCUACAGACUAAAGGGCUGGGUGGACUUCAAAGCAAGAAGCCGCAUAUUCGGUGCUUCAGUUCACUGCUAGGAGGACUUGCUGCUACCUUCCACAGAUGAAACCUUUCACUCUUGCUUUGAGACUGUGUUGAGGAACAUUGCAGUAUAGAAACCAGCUGGUUCUCCACACCAGGAUGUCUAGCAUACCAGAAAGGAGUGCUUAGUUUUGGGGCCUUUUAUGACUGUUCUAUCUUGUGGAGGGAAAACACCAUGUUUUGGAUACAAAACAAUCUAGAAUUAUUCCAGAAAAAAAACAUUUCCACAUACCCUUGUAAUGUUUGACUACUCAAUAAAGAGGCUUGGUGGCGGAAAAUAAAGAUUAGCAUAAAUGCACCUGGCAGGGGAAAAUGGAAUAUACCACAAAUUAUAGUGAGAGAAAGAACUAACUAUUCUUCUUGGCAAUAUAACUAGUCAUAUUGCCAAAGUUAGUUUGUUAGACUCUGAGGGUCUAGUAACCUGUAAACUCACUGCAGAAGGAGCUCUCAAGUUUGUUGACCAUCAUCCAAGCAUUAUCCUGAGGUUUCUAGUAAUCAUACUACAGUCAGAUGCAGAACUUUGCUGCAUCUCCAUAUCUUCCAAAUUUCUGUGGAUAAUUUGGGGGGGGGGAGGGAAUGCAGCCAAUACAUGUGUUUUGACAAGUGUAUUGUCAUAUACAUUUGAAAGUGUUGUUAAAUACAGCUGAGAUGGUCUGAAUAAUCAAGUAGUGUUAGAAACAAACCUGUAGCCUUACUCUUCAUUAUAUUGUGCGGAGACUUCCAUGGCAGAUAGAGUAAUGAUAGGGAUAUGGUAGUCUUGGAGGAAAUGUAGCACUGUAUGGCUAUUACUUUCUGCUUGAUCCUUUAUAUGAAGUAGGUUUGGAGGCCUAAGACAUUAUUAAAAAUAAGUAUAACAAUGAUUAAUAUCUAUAAUGAAUUUUUAAUGAUUUUAAAUCAUACAAUAGGUCUAUUAAUAUUCUGAAAGACAAGAGUGUUACUUAUCAUCUAGGACUUUUGAAUGUAAUCAAAAUCAAGUGUUUUAUAAAUCUAAUACCUUUGGUGUGAUUUAGUUUCAUUAUCAGAAAAUAAUAAACUUUAUUAUGAACCCCAUUGAGAAUCUUAUUGAAUCAUACAUAUUUUAUUACGGAAUGAGUUUGUAUAAACAUAAGCAUAUUUAAAUAUAUACAAACACAAUACAUACAGGCAAAUAUAUACAUAUAUGAUAUGGCUUGACACUAAGGAAUAGGCUUGUCAUUGGGUAUUUAUGAGAAGAAAGAAUGAAUCUCACAUGUCAAAUGACUGCAGAAAUUCACUGAAAUCUCUAGUUUUUCUUGGAGAAUGAAAACGACCUAGGGACUUUUCUCUCCCUUAAACUUGCUAUGCAAACUAAAGAAAUACAAACGCAAAAGAACUAUCAGUAAACAAAUCUAGAAGAGGAACUGAAUCCAUUUGAAAUCUGCCUUGAGUGGCAGACAGGUGUCUUAUUGCAGGCAUCACCUGUAGCUGCCUGCCCCUGAGGAAUCAUGGGAUAAAAGACUGCUGUUGGAUUCUAAAGUCAGAGUCUUAGUAGCAAACUGCAAAUGGCUGUUGUCAUUGGUAGUACAAAGGAGUUUAUUCUCUAUAUCCUUCAACUAUGAUUUCUGCCAGGCAAGAGAGAGGGUGUCUGGAGUUAUGACAAGUUUCCAUAGAUAUUACACAUAAUAUUACACAUUAAAUUGACUAGAACAGGGAACACUGUAUUAUUUCAUUAAAUGUUACUUUGAAUGAAUCUGUUUAUGGAUUGCAACAACAUCCAAUCACUCUCCAGCACUGUAUGGUGGCCUCAUCCAGUUCCUAAGAACCUGAGAAAAGAGAGUGAACAGCUAUAGCCAGGGUCCCAAGGGAUCCAAUGACAUCUGCUGACCUCCAUAUGCAUCUGCAUACAUGUGUACUUACCCAUAAAGUGUACACAUGUAUGUAUAGACACACACAUACACAGACAGACUCAUAUACACAGAAAAUAAAAGUAAGUAAAUCUUUAAAGACACUAGGCUGACCAAAGAGCUAUUUAGAAUCACAACUGACAAAGGAGACAAUGUGUAUAUGUGCUUAUGAGCAUGUGUCCUUAGUACACCUCCUUUACAUUUAGGGAGAUGAACACUGAAGCCAGAACAGCUACAAAGUAUCAAGUGGAAUUCAUGAAUGACAGGAAGAAAAGAUUGCUUGCUUGCUUGCUUUCUAACAAAAAUACAGGGAAUUCCUAGAAUUUAUGCUGCCAUCAUUUAACAUCAUGGUUUUUCCAAUUUUAAUGGUUCUCUAGAAUUUAUAUUCAAUUCACAUUCUAAGGUUAGAGAUCACUCUUAUCAAAAUUCUAUCUAUUCUUUAUUGUAGAGAAAGAGGUUAGCGUAAAUGCUUCAAAUUAUUACAUUUAAAUAUUUGUACAAGCGAUAGUCAAUAACAGAUGUGAUCAAUAUGGCAAAGCAGGUAAGAAGGACAAUUAAAUUGGGUUCUGUUGCUUGGUGUGAUUCUUUCAAUCUGUACAGUACUUAAAAACUGUCACACAUAAAUACCCAUUCUGUGUGCUUAGUAUACUUUCCAGGCCAAUAACUGGAGUGCUUGUUUCAUUCUCUAGUGACUAUUUCCCCUUCAAAGAGAAGUGGGGAAAAUAGUUGGAAUGUGUGUAAGUUACAUCUGAAAGCCUUUGGAUUCAAAACAGUCAUUAGGGUUUCUCCAUUUUGCCCUCUAGAAUGUGCUUGUUCUCAGACCCAUGGUGUCAUCUGGGCUAGCCUGUGACUCUAUGGAUAAUUCAGAGAAUUAUUCAUUCUAUUCAAUCCAAAGUUUUUGAUGGCAAACUCUUACUGAACUUCAGUUGAUUCAUUCUGGAAUUUAUCUUUACAGAUUAUAAAAUUACAGUUUGAUGUUUGGUUGCCUAAUCUUCUAGAUAUUAGUUCCUUCUAUCCAUUUACCAAAUAAAGCCUGGAAGAGAGCCUAGUCCCUUUAAAUAAAGAAUCCAAUUAUUUGGAUAAAAUAGGUAUUGAGAUGUAAGACCCAGGUUUAUUAGGAAUAUUUCUUUAAUGUUUCUAAGCAUUUAAGAAUUUUCUCUGUACCAGUUAUUGUUUUCUUAGUGUGACCAACAAAAUUGUAGAUGUUUAUGCUUUUGCAAAGGUGCAUGUUCUUUAGAAAGUUUUUAAAACUGAAGAAAUGUUCUAUUAUUAAUAUUCUUAUAUUUACCCAGUUUUCUUCUUUGUCUGUUUUCACUUCUUUAGUC